rnacentral:rRNA from 1 species
AGGGAAUCUUCCGCAAUGGACGCAAGUCUGACGGAGCAACGCCGCGUGAGUGAAGAAGGUUUUCGGAUCGUAAAACUCUGUUGUUAGAGAAGAACAAGUGCUAGAGUAACUGUUAGCGCCUUGACGGUAUCUAACCAGAAAGCCACGGCUAACUACGUGCCAGCAGCCGCGGUAAUGCGUAGGUGGCAAGCGUUGUCCGGAUUUAUUGGGCGUAAAGCGAGCGCAGGCGGUUCCUUAAGUCUGAUGUGAAAGCCCCCGGCUCAACCGGGGAGGGUCAUUGGAAACUGGGGAACUUGAGUGCAGAAGAGGAGAGUGGAAUUCCAUGUGUAGCGGUGAAAUGCGUAGAUAUAUGGAGGAACACCAGUGGCGAAGGCGACUCUCUGGUCUGUAACUGACGCUGAGGCUCGAAAGCGUGGGUAGCAAACAGGAUUAGAUACCCUGGUAGUCCACGCCGUAAACGAUGAGUGCUAAGUGUUGGAGGGUUUCCGCCCUUCAGUGCUGCAGUUAACGCAUUAAGCACUCCGCCUGGGGAGUACGACCGCAAGGUUG